UACAGAGGUCUCAAGCGUUGUUCGGAUUCAUUGGGCGUAAAGGGUGCGUAGGCGGCGCGGUAAGUCGGGUGUGAAAUCUCGGAGCUUAACUCCGAAACUGCAUUCGAUACUGCCGUGCUUGAGGACUGGAGAGGAGACUGGAAUUUACGGUGUAGCGGUGAAAUGCGUAGAUAUCGUAAGGAAGACCAGUGGCGAAGGCGGGUCUCUGGACAGUUCCUGACGCUGAGGCACGAAGGUCAGGGGAGCAAAACGGGGAUUAGAAAACCCCGGUGUA
rnacentral:rRNA from 1 species